AACAGUACAACAGGCCUGAAAUGCAAUGAAAACUCAAAGUAUUAGACAGUCACCUACACUAACAACAACCUCGUUAAUCCAUUACUCUAUCACCAGAACAUUUCGACAUUUCACAAAUCCAUAAAGCAGUUUUAAUUCAACAAGCAUUAGCAACUAAACUAGUGCAUAGCAAAUAGAAACCUCUUUAGUCUUUAGACUGGUAUAUAUUGGCAACUCCCG
rnacentral:misc_RNA from 1 species